GGCUCCCAGAAUCCUGUGCUGUGGCAUCUACUCUCCUCCAUCUCUUUAAUAUUGUAUUUUCCUCUACCUCAGGGUUUUGUUUCCCUCGAGCUCCUGUUGUCCUCUUCUCCUUCUCAACUCUGGACCAUACUAACCCACUGUUAUAUUGACUGUCCCAUAACUGUUUCAAUUGACUGUUCUGUAGCUGUUUCUGUUGACUGUUCUAUUCCUUCGAUCUGUUGGAUGUUUAACCACUCUUCUGUUCUGGAGCAGUUAACUGUAAUCUCUUUGUUGGCUGUUUUGUAUUUUUGUUUUAAUUGACUCCAUUUGCAGCCUUGUGUCGUCAUUGUUCUUGAUUUUCCUUGAUAUGUACUAUGUUCUUUGUUCCACAUCAAUGUCUAGGUGUGUAUGUAUAGUAUGUCAAAAAUCUAAUUUUAUUGGUCACAUACACAUGGUUAGCAGAUGUUAAUACGAGUGUAGCGAAAUACUUGUGCUUCUAGUUCCGAACAUGCAGUAAUACACAUACAUACAUGUGUCUCCAUGUCUAGGUGUGUAUGUGUAGUAUGUGUCUCCAUAUCUAGGUGUGUAUGUGUAGUUCUACGGUCCAUCCAUGUCUAGGUGUGUAUGUGUAGUUCUACUGUCCAUCCAUGUCUAGGUGUGUAUGUGUAGUUCUACUGUCUAUCCAUGUCUAGGUGUGUAUGUGUAGUUCUACUGUCCAUCCAUGUCUAGGUGUGUAUGUGUAGUUCUACUGUCCAUCCAUGUCUAGGUGUGUAUGUGUAGUUCUACUGUCCAUCCAUGUCUAGGUGUGUAUGUGUAGUUCUACUGUCCAUCCAUGUCUAGGUGUGUAUGUGUAGUUCUACUGUCCAUCCAUGUCUAGGUGUGUAUGUGUAGUAUGUGUCUCCAUGUCUAGGUGUGUAUGUGUAGUUCUACUGUCCAUCCAUGUCUAGGUGUGUAUGUGUAGUAUGUGUCUCCAUGCCUAGGUGUGUAUGUGUAGUAUGUGUCUCCAUGUCUAGGUGUGUAUGUGUAGUUCUACUGUCCAUCCAUGCCUAGGUGUGUAUGUGUAGUAUGUGUCUCCAUGUCUAGGUGUGUAUGUGUAGUUCUACUGUCCAUCCAUGUCUAGGUGUAUAUGUGUAGUAUGUGUCUCCAUGCCUAGGUGUGUAUGUGUAGUAUGUGUCUCCAUGUCUAGGUGUGUAUGUGUAGUUCUACUGUCCAUCCAUGCCUAGGUGUGUAUGUGUAGUAUGUGUCUCCAUGUCUAGGUGUGUAUGUGUAGUUCUACUGUCCAUCCAUGUCUAGGUGUGUAUGUGUAGUUCUACUGUCCAUCCAUGUCUGGGUGUGUAUGUGUAGUUCUACUGUCCAUCCAUGUCUAGGUGUGUAUGUGUAGUAUGUGUCUCCAUGUCUAGGUGUGUAUGUGUAGUUCUACUGUCCAUCCAUGUCUAGGUGUGUAUGUGUAGUUCUACUGUCCAUCCAUGUCUCGGUGUUUAUGUGUAGUAUGUGUCUCCAUGUCUAGGUGUGUAUGUGUAGUAUGUGUCUCCAUGUCUAGGUGUGUAUGUGUAGUUCCACUGUCCAUCCAUGUCUAGGUGUGUAAGUGUUGGUGGGGGUCCUCUGGAAAUCCACACAUGUUCUUCAAUGUGCCUGAUCUGUGAAAUCUGUUCAAGUUGCACAACCUCCCAUUUGAGGAGAGGCUCUCUGUUUCCCAUAUGCCUCCUUGAGGUCAUGCUCUCAUUGUAAAGAUACUAAUACACAAUCUUUUCUAUUUUUUCCUCUUUC